rnacentral:sRNA from 1 species
GCUGAUGUUUCGUGACAGGAACGAGGGUAUACGGGAUUGAAUGGAAGGAGAUAGGGAAAUUUAUAUUUUAGCUUUCACUGUUUGCUGCCGUUUCGUCCCAAAAUCUAUUUUACAAGAAACGAUUUGAACGAUGUCGUACUCAGAUCCACGACUUCACUGCCUAAGGGUUGUAAAAAAAAAAAAAGAAUCAAAACAAAAAAAGAAGAAAGGUGAAGAGAAGAGAAAACGAAGGGGAAAAAAGAACAAAUAGAGGGGGAUAAUAAUCCAGGACAACGAACAAAGGUAACAAAGGAGAGCCAAAAUCCCCUCCAUGAAAAAUGAAAAAUAUCGAGAUAAAGAUAAAUAAUGGUGAAUAUGAGAGACAGAAGAUAUAACUGCUAAAGUGGACAAAAAGAAGAGGUAGAAAUAAAGGAGAAAAAAAAGAUGGAUUGUGAUAAUCCAAUGAAAUAGAGAACAUGGAAAUAGAACCGGAGACAAAAGAAAUGAGAUGAAUUGUCCGUUAAAGAAGAGCCGACGAAAAAUGCCAAUAAACGGUCUCCAGCCCAGGAUGCCAGCCAAAACAAAAGGAAAUGUGUAUUUUUUGAGUCCAG